UUGGCUUUUCUUUUCCUUGAAUCAUUUUGGUUUGAAAAAACCUCUAAAAUAUUCUGGACCAACAAUUCUGUGCCUUCCACUCCACCAUGUCCCCAAGUGCCACAUCUCCUGGAGAAGGCUGUUCUUGGAGCUGAGGCAACAACUCCAAAUGGCUGGAGUGGAAAACAUUAUCUCUGACUCCGAGCUGGAAAAUUGAACCAGCGGGUGAGCACAGCACCUACAGGAGAUUUCCAAGAAGGAAACUGCUGUGACCUCGGUGGGUUUGCACGGAGUAUUUCACCAGCCAUUAGGGGAGGUUUAUGAUUUAAUCCAUUUUCAACUCUUCCUUGUUCCUGCUCAGUGGUCCCAGUGCCUCGGUGACACAGCCAUGCGUCAACGUCAUUGCCUGGGUGCCAGCUCAGGGAUAAUCGAUGGAUUUACAGAAAUCAUUUAAUAAUCAAUCUGGGAGCUCUGUUAAACACAAGCUGGGAGUUCAUUGUCAUCUGGCAAAAUCCCAGCCUGCACAUUUGGAUUUGGCUGUGCUGGAGAAGAAAAUUCAUCCUUUCGUCCACCAGAGAAGCUCAAAACAGGACAAGUUGCCAAUUUUCAUAUCCAGCCAGAAAUGGAGCCCCUGUUGCCCUCAGCAUUGUUAAUCCUCACCACAACUCACCCUGGGGUGGCCUCAGAUGAGUGGAAAUCAAUUUCUGGUGCCCACAAUGAAAGGAGAAGCACCAAAACUGGAAUCUGAACUACGACCAGAAGCUUCCAAACCACUAAACCCAUCUGAGGAGCUGUUGAAAUGAGGUGCUGGCAGGGAGCACUGAUGUGAGCUUCAGCCCGUGCAGUGCUUGGUUCCAGACCAUGUCCCCUCUCUGCCUUGACAUGAAGAAAGCACCAAAUUCCUUUCAAACCAUUCCAGCUAUCCAGCAAGAUGACAUCAUUUGUGCGCUCCAAAAAAUCUGGUUCUAACAGCCUCGGUGAAGUCCUUGUGGUGAGGAUUUCAGGUGCCUAAUUCAGUCUUGUAUGGAAGAAAUCCUCUUGCCUGCUUUGUGCCCUCAUGCUGUUCCUGAAUUUUUACAUCAGGGGACUGGAGAACAGGAUUCCACCAUCCCUUUGCUGUUUUCCCAGCUCUGCUCGGUGAGAAGGAGAAAUGUUCAGCCAGGCUCAGGACACUAAACCAGCUUAAAGAAGCCCUGAGGUGGCCACUAAAGGACCUUGAAUUUGCCUGUGAAAGCCCCUGAUAUUCAAGUCUAUAAAUUCCAGUUUAUUCCAGUAAAUCACAACAGGAUGUGAAGCAAAAAGCUGGAGAAGGCUGCAAAGUGUCCUUGGAAAUGGGGGUGUUUGGGAUAAUCAGGACUGAAAUUCAGCUUCCGAGAGGAGUCAGGGCUUGCCCUGUGGCUGGUGAAGCUGGAGUGAAAAGGCUAAAUGACACCUUUUGUUUGACUCUGUACUGACUGUGGUGGGGGCAUUGCUCAGAUUGUGACUGAUUUAAUGAAAACCACGUCAUUAAACCCAAAAAACCUCCUGAGAAAGCACUGUAAGCUACGGGUGGAACUCCUAGAAACACAAGUGGGAGAAGAGGCAUUUGAAUGAAGCAGAUCCUGUUGUUCUCCUGCAGUGGAUUUGUCAUGUUUGCUCCUGUCUGAAAUGAAAAGGAAGCGGAAUGGGAAGGAAAUUUCUCCAUCUUUCUUUGAACUCUGGAUUACAAAAAGCUCUUUGUUUGUUCAAAAGCCUAAGCCCACCUAAGCCUGGUUUGGCCAUAAAUCCAAGAUGGAAAUCCUCACUCUAGCCCCAAGUGGGACAUUUAGUCCCACACAAUCAAGACCAUAAACAAGAGAGAAGCUGCCUGCCCAAAUGCAAGUUCUCCUUGGCUUUGCAGGAUGGAGAUCCAUAACCUUUCCUGAGGGACUCAUGACAGUCCAGAAUACUGGCAGGCCACCAGGCUCCUCCAGCCCAGUGAGAUGUGAAGGACAACAUUUUGUGACCUGGUGGCAACCUGAGCCUGUCAGACCUUGGCCAUGUGCAGCCUUCACGGAGCAAGGACAGAGCUGUUUCUACAAAGGCUCGUGCUGCUGCCACUGGAACAUUCCUAGCCAGCCUGCUUUUCCCCAUGCAAAAUGCAAGCAAGGCUGAAAAUGGAGAGCUAUUAAAAGCCCUGUUCUAAAUCCAGGUGGAGAUAGGUGUGCCAGCUGCUGGAGAGGAAGGACAUCUGAGCCCAAAAGGAGAUGAGUGCAUGGACUGGUACAAACAGCUCUGGCUUCAGGAAAACACACAGGAAGGAAAGGAACCAACCUGGCUCAGCAGUAAAACCUGGGGAAUUGCAGAUUUUUAGCCUGGCGGUGCUGCAGAAGGCA